CCUACGGGAGGCAGCAGUCGAGAAUCAUUCACAAUGGGGGAAACCCUGAUGGUGCGACGCCGCGUGGGGGAAUGAAGGUCUUCGGAUUGUAAACCCCUGUCAUGUGGGAGCAAAUUAAAAGAAAGUACCACAAGAGGAAGAGACGGCUAACUCUGUGCCAGCAGCCGCGGGAAUACAGAGGUCUCAAGCGUUGUGCGGAAUAAAUGGGCGUAAAGAGUGCGUAGGCUGUUUAGUAAGUAGUGUGUGAAAGGCGCGGGCUCAACCCGCGGACGGCACAUGAUACUGCGAGACUAGAGUAAUGGAGGGGGAACCGGAAUUCUCGGUGUAGCAGUGAAAUGCGUAGAUAUCGAGAGGAACACUCGUGGCGAAGGCGGGUUCCUGGACAUUAACUGACGCUGAGGCACGAAGGCCAGGGGAGCGAAAGGGAUUAGAUACCCCUGUAGUC
rnacentral:rRNA from 1 species